CCAAUCAACCCUACAGUAUCAAUAUAAAAGUGUUUUGUCCAAAAUAUUGUGAUAUUUGAUUGUCUCUAUAUCACCCAGCUCUAAUUAUAACCCUCUGA